AAAACCCGACCUAGAGACUUCACUCUCUUUGAUGUGUGUCAGAUAGGUUCCCACCUGCUCCACCAAGGGAUCUCAGUUCAUUGUCACUCUUGGGACCAGAAAUGACAUUCUCCCUGACAUCCCAGAUAAAGACACUUCUCAGGAGACAGUAACUAUGGUCUGGCUCCUGGGAGCAGUCCUGAGAGGGACCCAAGCAGCCUGUUCUUCAGGGACGGAAUGUGAUGGCCAGUUAGUAAAGGGGAUGAGUAUCUGAGUUUGAUCCCCAGAACCACAUAUAAAAAGCCUGGUGGUGUGAGCCUGAAAUCUCAGCACUAGAAGGCACACCUCAGGGGAUCACUGAGGAUUACCGACGAGACAGCCUACAUGACUUGAUGAAUUCCAGACCUGUGAGAUGGCAGCUAUUCAGGGAUCUCUGCAGAAGAGAGGUGGGUAGGUGUGAGAGUCAAAGGAGACAGAUGACCACAGGAAGCAGCCUAUCCUCCACAGCAGGACAGCUACACAUAAUGAACUCACAGUGCCCGCGGCACUGUUCACCAGGCCUGCGCGAGCCUGAACCAGGUAGAAUCCCAACACAGAGGAGGGAGGUGGGCAAGAAGUUCCACCCCUAGCUGAGGAGCUACUGGCAAUUUUUAGCUGCUGGGAGAUGAAGGGUCAGUUUUCUCUAACACUGUAGCCCUUGGUAAGUCAGCCAUACUCCAGUGGAAGACCACACAUGCAAGAAUGUUGGGAAAGUACAAAUUGGCUUUGAUGUGGGUGGGAAGGACUCAGUAUUGGGUGGGGCAGAAAGAGGUGGGUCUGGGAAGAGUUGGAGAAGGAAGCUGAAUAUGAUCAAAAUACAUUGGACCAAAUCCUUGAAGAACUAACUAGAUAUAAAAGAAGAAAGGAAGAAGGAAGAGAACAGGUAGAUGGAGCCUAAGGAAUGAUACUUGAGAUUUCUUUCUGGCCUCCACAUACAUGCACACAUACACACAUGUACACAUACAAAUGCACACACACACACACACACACACACAAGCAAAGUGCUGUAACUUCAGGUAUGAUGAUUUGGGCAGUGUAAUAAAUACAUCAAUUAAGGUGUUUCAAUAACAAAUACAAACCUACAUCAGAGAGCUCUGUGUUGCUGCCUUGUGCAGAGAGUGUAAACAGUGAGACUCACCCUCAUCUGCUGAGGCUAAGCCUCGUGGAGCCUGCAUGGAAAUGCAUGUCAACACAGACCCACAGACAUGUCUAGCAUACAUACAGACUUUACACAAAGGAACAAAAAGCAAGGAAAUGAGAAAUUCUCCACGGCUUUUAAAUCCAUCUUUAGUAAAUACAAAGAUGUUUUUUUUCUGAUAGGAUUUAAGGUUGAGGACUUUCAUAAUUUCUAUUAUUACAAUUUUUUUCUUUUAACUAUAAAAAGAGCUGAUUCCCCAUUCCCAGGUUGACAUCUUCAUAGAAGUGGUCAGUAUUUAAGGCCAGCCUAGGAUACAUAGUUAGUUCCAGACCUUGAAAUACAGCAUGAGGCCUUGCCUAUGCAAAAAGAAAUCAAUCAAUCACUCAAUCAGCCAAUCAAUACGUGGGGAAAUGAUGUUGUUCGGGCCUAUUCUCGGUGGUUCUCAUGAGAGUAGAAAGGUUGAUUGGUUGGCAGUUCAAAGCCAGUGUCGCCAUUUAUCUUUCAACUGUUGGAAGAUAGAAUAUUGACCAAAAAUCACUGCCAAUCACAUAUUAAUAAAUGAACUGUUUUAUUUUAUAACACAAUAGCUAGUUAACAUGGUUAAGUUUAGACAGUAGAAGCAUGUUGGGGCACAAAAAUAUCCUUCAUAGCAGUGGAUGGGCUUUGUCCAAGGUUCUGAACUAGUCUUCCAAACAUUUCCAUGACUGGAAAACCAUCAGAUGUCUGAAACUGUUCCUUUAAAAGGAUAAUACAGGCAGGGAACACCUUUAAUCCCAGCACUCGGAGACAGAGGAAGGCAGAUCUCUGCGAGCUGAAGGCUAGCCUGGUCUACAAAGCAAGUUCCAGGCCAGCCAAGGCUGCACAGUGAGACACUGUCUCAAAAAACAAAACAUCUAAAAAACGACAAUCCAGGUAGAAUGAAAACAAAUAGUACUUUUUAAUGUGAUCAUGGAGUGCUGGAGAGAUGGCUCAGUACAUAAGAGCAUUUGCUGUUCUUACAAAGGGCCUACGUUUGGUUCCCAGCAUUCACAUGAGUGCUCACAAGCAUCUCCAGUCCUACGGGAUCUGAUGCCCUCUUCUGACCUCCACGGCUACCAUAUGGCACACAUACACAUGCACAAGCAAAAUAUUCACAUGCACAAAAUAAAGUAAUCUAAAAGAACAUUUAAAGUCAUCCAAUGAAGGGAACCGAGAAUUGCGCUAACUUUCAGUCACAAUCUGGGGACACUAGUAUUUUCCUUGGUGUGGUCCCCUGUCAGGGAAGAGAGGCAGUCUCAUUAGUGGGCUGGUGUUGGAAGAUGACUCCAAUUGUUCAGAACCGCUGCAGCUCAGGCUUCCUACUCAGGGUCCUGUCUUCCCGAUCACCCACCCACCCUGCCUAGUGGAAGCUGAGUAUCAACUGUGCUUGUGAAACCAUUAAUGUCUGUGUCCUCUGUGGUCACCUCAUAUUAUAGGCUAUGCUGUUUAAUGCUUUACUUAGGAUACUCUCCUCCACUAAUCUCAGUUCCCUGGAAAACAUUUUCUUUAACCUGCUUCUGUCUUGGCACGUAGCUCAUUCUCCCCUCAGGAGGGAUAAAUGCCCAUCUUCUAGCCCCCUUCCUCUUACAUGCUGUCCCCAUGGUCUUCAAAUUCAGAUCUACUAGAUUUUACUGACCUCUUUUCAGAAAAAUAAGCAAAUCCCCUCUCCAUUUCUAGAAAAUGGCAUUGAAAUGACCUCCCCCACAUCCUACAGCUAAUAAAGCAUUUCCUGUGGCGUGUUGGCCUGUCCACAUUUGCCCACAGUCUCUUUCGCUGUAUCUUGAGCUCUGGUCAGCACUUUCAGUAAUCACUUCUAUUUUUAUGUACUAACAGACCUUCCGCACAAGUGUUGAAAUGUACCCCGAUGCUCAAAACCUGACUAUCUACAGAAACACAACUGUCCCUCCAGUGAGACACUUUCACUUCUCCCUUCAGAAGCUCGUUUCUCAGGACAGCUGUUCACCUAUGCCCCUGCCUGUGGUUCCUACCAGUCACUCCCUCCUGCACAGUCACCCUUGCCACAAAGAGGCCACCACCCUGCACAGGGAUAGCAGCAGUAUCUGUUCUGAGAUGCUUCAUGAAAGCGUCUCCCUCCUUCUCCCGCUGGCUGCUGGCGGACAGACACUCCCAUCCCUUCCAGGACCUGUACAGUUGUGGCAGGAGUCUCCCCACCCCUCACCGUGAAGCUUUACUUCUGGGUUUCCAGGCUGGGUUUCCUUUUCCUUCAUGCCUCAUGCUUUGAAGCUCUUUCCUGACCUGUUCUUCACUUGGUUCUCUGGUUUACAUGCUCCACCAGCAUGCUUCCUUUGGUGAGUUAUAUCAUCAAACCUAAAAUCAAGCCAGUUUCCUCCCCAACAUGAGCUGCUGCAGAGACCCUAACAGUGUCCCCCACCCCAGGUGUGAAAGAGAAGCAAUGUCUCUUUUUCCAAUUAUCACUGAGAUUUUUUUUUAAUGUAAAGUUUAUCAUUCUGUUGUCUGUCUGCUAUCCUUUGGUGAUCAUUUAGACAGAUUUAAAAAUUCUGUGGACUUUGAACCUGUACGAUCCAACUUGGUCCUUCUCCAAACUGUUCUGUGGGCUUGCCCCGUUCCCCCAUGCCUUCUUCUGUCCUCAGUGUCUGUCCUCUGCCUGGGGCUCCUCCCAGUCUUCUCAGUCCGCAGUGGAAAUUGAAACCCAGUGUGAACCUCACUGUUCUAAGACCACGUACUGACUGCUUUUCUAUGACCCAGCACCAGCUUGCUUGAUUGUUUCCACAAAAUCAAGUCAAAAGUUUCUUUGUGCUUUUGUUGUUGUUGUUAAUGCAUUUCUCUCCUCUUCCAGUCCGGAGCAUCCAUCAGGGAACUGUCUUCCUCCCCUGGUCUUUCUUGUAUGUGUCAGACUGUAACUCAGACCUGGUUUAAAGGAUUAAAAAUAUAUGCAGGGUAAAUGAAUAGAGUACUGGGCAAGACUAAUGGAGAUCUCCUAAGUAUAAUCUGAAUUAAGAAACUAAGAAAGUAGGCAAAGUUGUGAACCCCAAGACAUGAAGUUUCAUAAAUCUUCCAUUCACCCAUCUUUUUCUUUGUUUCUUUCCUUUCUAGGUUGUCAUUAAUUAAAUUAACACCUUAAAAUUUUAAGUCAUAUAAAAAAGAAAUGCUUGGCACUGCAGGCGAUCUUGCUUGUUCUUUCUCACCAUGAGGAGAUUUCAAACUUUUGUCUCUUUUCAUUUGUUCUUUGGACAACGUUUGAUUAACACCAGACUUUGUGUCUAAAAGGCCCGUCUAAUAGGGCCUUAGAGAAACUUCUGUACCCAAGUUACACGAGUGAGAAACAAAUCCUAAUGCAGAGCCUAGAAGCACCGGGUAUGUGCAGGGUUCCCUACUGGGUGAGGACACCGCCUUUCACUUUCGCUCUGUAGACCCCACACCUGAGUCUCAUGACUUUUCUAACUGCCUCUUUGAAGUCCUUGUUCCUCAGGCUGUAGAUAACUGGGUUCAGCAGCGGAGUGAUCACGGUGUAGAAGACGGAAAUGACCUUGUUGGUCUCUGGUGACAAAUGUGCGUUUGGGCGCACGUACAUGGAGAUCAUGGUCCCGUAGUAGAUGGUGACCACGGCCAGGUGCGAGCCGCAAGUAGAAAACGUCUUCAGCCUGCCGGAAGUGGAAGGGAUUCUCAGAAUGGAGGACACUAUGAAAACGUAGGACAUGAGGGUUAGAAGGAAACAGAUGCACAGCACAGCGAUAGACAGGACAAAGAUGGCCAUCUCCGUCACAUAGACACUGGAGCACGACAGCUGCAUCAACGGAGGGAGGUCGCAGAAGAAAUGGUUGAUGCGGUUGGGCCCACAGAAGUCCAGUUUAGAAAUCAUCAGCGAAGGCAGGAAUCCCGUGCCCACCCCUGUCACCCAGGAGACUGUGACCAGGGCAGCGCAGUUGUCAGGACUCAUGAGCGCGGAGUAGUGGAGCGGGCUGCAGAUGGCCAGGUACCGGUCAUAAGCCAUGGCGGCAAGGAGGAAACACUCAGUU